UACGUAGGGGGCAAGCGUUGUCCGGAUUUAUUGGGCGUAAAGAGCGUGUAGGCGGUUUGUUGCGUCGGCUGUGAAAUCCCGAGGCUCAACCUCGGGUCUGCAGUCGAUACGAGCAAACUAGAGUGUUGCAGGGGAGACUGGAAUUCCUGGUGUAGCGGUGAAAUGCGCAGAUAUCAGGAGGAACACCGGUGGCGAAGGCGGGUCUCUGGGCAACAACUGACGCUGAGGAGCGAAAGCGUGGGGAGCGAACAGG
rnacentral:rRNA from 1 species